UACGGGGGGAGCAAGCGUUGUUCGGAUUUACUGGGCGUAAAGGGCGCGUAGGCGGUCAGCACAAGUCAGUUGUGAAAUCUCCGGGCUUAACCCGGAACGGUCAACUGAUACUGUGCGACUAGAGUGCGGAAGGGGCAACUGGAAUUCUUGGUGUAGCGGUGAAAUGCGUAGAUAUCAAGAGGAACACCUGAGGUGAAGACGGGUUGCUGGGCUGACACUGACGCUGAAGCACGAAAGCUAGGGUAGCAAACGGG
rnacentral:rRNA from 1 species